rfam:Ovis aries breed Texel chromosome 2, whole genome shotgun sequence.
UCCCUGGUGGCUCAGAUGGUAAAGCAACUGCCUCCAAUGCGGGAGGCCCAGGUUCGAUCCCUGGGUUGGGAA